CUGGGUUUACACAACCAGGGCUUCCCAACGCUGUGUUAACUUCUCUUCAUUGACUGUGUUGACGACGACAUGGUCGCGAUCGUACUGUGCACCACCUGCAGAGAGAGGGCAGAGUGCAGGUUACCCCUGAGACACACACAGCUACUCCAGGGCUCAGGGCAGCUCUACUAUGUGCCAGUGCAGAGUUUCUCUUCUCCCCAAGGCACUACAAACUCAUUCUUAUCACUGCCUGCUUUUGGAAUUCAUUUGGAAACAAGCCUGCCUGCUCCUCUCCACCCCUUCAGCACCUCAGCUUUUCCAGAUGGAUGGGAAAUGAAGGACAUGCUGCAGCACAGUCUGGUUGUGAAGGUUUGGGAGUUACCUGCCCCCCACCUUAUGAAGUCACCCAGACUAGACUCAGCCAGCUGAAAGUUAAGGAAUGAAGGUUUGUAGUCCCAUCUUAGCACAAGAUACAAGCAGAUAGUUACAAUAUUUACAGCUCUAGACAGAAACAAGUUAAAGGUAAUACAGAAACACAGCAGCCCUCCAGAGGCCAGAGUCCCCAGGAGGGGCUCCCAACCACCCUUCCACCUUCUUUCCACCCCUCUACCUUAUCUCAGAGUCUGCCUUAUGUGCAAAGUUGAGUUUGGAGGAUCAGCAAGAGGGGUUAGAAGCAGAAUUGGGAGAAUUAGAAGCAGAAUUAGCCCAGGGAGAAAAGCACAGACACUGACUCCAACAGAGAGAGACUCUCACACUGUCUUAUCUAUGUUUGUGUCCUUGCUUUUAUCCAUCUCAGCGAGCUUCUGGGUGCAGCAGCCAUCAUCAUUGUUUCCUUUUCACAGCCUAGAAUCUUUUUUCUCAUGAAAAUAUUCCAGUUAGCCUCAAACCAGCACACAGGUUUGGCUCCUUUAAGACUGCCACUUCCCCAGACCGCACUUGGCUGUUCAGUUUCCCCUAAACAGUUGUCCCUUUGCUCUAGAGAUGAUGUCUGUGCUGAAAUGAGCCCUGCUGCUAACAGACAAUACAAGCUCUGGUACUCAUUUCCUCCCCACCACGAUAAUCCUGUGGUUUUGGCCAGCUGCAUCACAAGAUGCCUUUUGCAGAGCAUCACAACUUAUUCAGCUGUUCCUUCUGGCAGCUGAGCACACCCAAAUGAAAAGUAAGCCCCUUUCUUAGGGGGGCUUCACUUACCCACAGGAUGCAAUUCCAAACAUGUCCUCAGAGAAGAGCUCCAUUACUAUUCUGACUUGAGAAACAUUCAGCUACACCUGAUAGGCAGAACUGACAUUGUCCCUCAGACCCAGUACAGACUGCAGGUGCAGGACAUGGGCAUCCAUCCAUCUAGCACAACACAUCUGCAAUAGCAGGCAGCAUUCCCACUGGAAGCAGCUCUCUGAGUCAACCAUUUCUCCAGAGCACCAGGACACUCCUGUGGAUACUUUCAUUCUGCAUCUUUACAGCCUCACUCUCCCCAGAUGAGUUAAAGAUGAGCCAGCAGCUGAGAGCUGGAGAAGAGUGGCCCAAACAUGGGUGCUAGCAGGUAUCAGACAGAGACAUCCCAGGCACCAGCAGUCCUGCAUGGACAGAUACUUUAAGAGUAGCUCUUUUGUACCAGGAAAAUGCCAUCCCAAGCACCUUCACUGUUCUCUGCCUCAGAAACUUGGUAGAGGCUUUCUGGAGCCACUGCCUCAAAGCAGAAAGGUCUGAUUAACACCAAGAUGGUUUCUGUCCUUGCCACCAGGCAAUUACUGAAAAUCAGUAAAGACACACAGCAGAAAUUCUUGCAAACUUCAGAAAGGGGGGGGGGAGCAGUUCAGAUAAUCCCACAGGAAAAAUAAACCUAAGCAGCAGCUACAAACCCCUAAAAUUAGCUACACAGCUCAGUUAUCUGUGAGCACAAAAAUAUUUUGUUGGCAAGGUCUGUCAGAAUGUAAGCCUGUGUCCUUGGGAAAAGAUGGGAUUGCUUUUCAGUUAAACAAGAGACUCAGCUGGCAGAGCUCUGGGCAAGGCUUUGUGCUGUGCCAGUGCAUCCACAUGGUGGCACUGGAAACUGCACAGUUAACUGCCUACCUUUGCUGGGAGACUGAUGCUCGGCUGGGUGGAGCUGAGUGGCUGAAGAAUGGAUCAGCAGAACUGGCAUAAACAUGCCAGGUAAUGUUCCUCUUCCUCAAAUGUGAGCUGAAUGUACUUGUUCUUUCAUAUUUACCCACGUUUUAAAGCUAGGAGCACUUCUAGACUUUGAUCAAUAGACCUGUUUGUGUGAAGCCCUUCAGUUCCAAAUGCAGAACUGAUUGAAGCUGAUUAACUGAAGGCAGCAGAAUGGAAUUUCUGCUUGUCUGGUGCAACUCAGAACUGACUGUAGAAAAAGCUGUGCAACAUCCUUGUGACUAAAUGCUCUCCCCUGAACUGCAGGCUUUUGCUAAGCUUAGAACUAAGCACCACCAGCUUUUCAUGGCAGUAGAGGGAAUUUAUGUCAGUGCCAGUGUUGUGUUCUGGGCAGACAUUUGGUAGCCUUUUUCUCACAGGUCUGACAGUCCUGUCUUGAGUUCAGAACUUCACACUGUUGACUCUGGUGUUUUUCUUUCUUUAGUUUGUGUUUUCCACUGGAAGCAGACAUCUGAGCCAACCAUUUCUGUUCUAGUGGCAGGUGUCCCUGCCUAUGGCAGGGGGUUGGAACUAGAUGAUCUUUGAGGUCCCUUCCAACCUAAACCAUCCUGUGAUUCUAUGAUUUCUCCAGAGCACCAGGACCCUCCUAUGGACACUUUCAUUCUGCACUCCUGUAGCCUUCCAGCCCCAACAUUUCACAGUGAUUAGAUGUUGUGCAGAGGGAUUUGGUUUAGCCAAGGACUUAGUGUGAAACUAAUGAUUGGAUUUGCUGACCUUGAAGGUCUUUUCCAAUCUAAGAAAAUUCUGUCAUUCUAUGAUUCUGUGCUGCUUGUGUCUAAUCUAAUCAGGGUGCAAGCCUGCCUUUGCCUUCCUAAUAUCCUUUGGCCAUUGCAUCUGCAACUCCUAUGUAAGAAAAUGUGCUCUGUACAGAUGAAAGGUAAUGAGGAGGCUUCCCCUGCUUCAGCAUUUUAAAUAAUGACACUCACGUCACCCAGUGCCACCUAACAUGAACUGAGGAUAUCUGCAGUGAGUGGACGCUGGGGAUACAAGAUAAGCAAGUACUGUGAGUUACUAAACUCUGUGUAGGAAAAAUGAAUUGGAGUCCUAGGGCCUGUAUAAUUCAGAGUCAGACAAGCUCAUCGGGUCCUUUUUGGUUCCAGAUGAAAGUCACUGUAACACCAUCCUUAAUUUAUAGGCAGGUCCAGUGCCUAACCCACUGUAAACACCAGGUGAUGAAGACACAACGUAAUGAGAUAACACAUUUGCUUACCUUUGAUAUCUAAAACCAGCUUGGGUUUCAUCUUGCUGUAGAUCCUGCCAUCAGGACUGAUGUGCCAAUACUGUUUGUCUUCGUUCCGCUCGAACGACAGCCCGAGCUUGGAGCCAGGGGUGAUGAGGUUCCCAACGAUGGUCAAGCAGCAGUCCUCUGCCAGCUGCAGCAGAAGGGCAACAGCAGUUACUCAGCAUGCCCUUACUUUUGGUGCCCACUGCUUUUUGAUCAGAUAGGAGGCGAGAACAGAGUCUAGUCCUGCAACAGGCUUUUGAGACAAAGCACAGAACUGCACAGUGCUGAAUGUUGCAGUGUAGCACGA